UUCCUUUGAGUUUCAGCCUUGCGACCAAACUCCCCAGGCGGAGCACUUAACACUUUCGCUUCGGUCGGAAACCUAUGGAGGAGCCUCCAACCUAGUGCUCAUCGUUUACAGCUAGGACUACCGGGGUAUCUAAUCCCGUUCGCUACCCUAGCUUUCGUGCCUCAGCGUCAGAAAAGACCCAGUGAGCCGCUUUCGCCACAGGUGUUCCUAAUGAUAUCAACGCAUUUCACCGCUCCACCAUUAGUUCCGCUCACCUCUAUCUUCCUCUAGCUUGGCAGUUUUGAGCGCAGUUCCUCGGUUGAGCCGAGGGAUUUCACACCCAACUUGCUAUGUCUCCUACGCGCCCUUUAAGCCCAGUGAUUCCGAAUAACGUUUGGACGGUUCGUCUUACCGCGGCUGCUGGCACGAACUUAGCCCGUCCCUCCUCUGAAGAUAGGUCAACUAUGGGGGAGAACCCCCAUAGAUUUCCUCCCAACUGACAGCGGUUUACAACCCGAAGGUCUUCAUCCCGCACGCGGCGUCGCUCCGUCAGGCUUUCGCCCAUUGCGGA
rnacentral:rRNA from 1 species